GACGAACGCUGGCGGCGUGCCUAAUACAUGCAAGUUGAGCGCUGAAGGCUGGUACUUGUACCAACUGGAUGAGCAGCGAACGGGUGAGUAACGCGUGGGGAAUCUGCCUUUGAGCGGGGGACAACAUGUGGAAACGAAUGCUAAUACCGCAUAAAAACUUUAAACACAAGUUUUAAGUUUGAAAGAUGCAAUUGCAUCACUCAAAGAUGAUCCCGCGUUGUAUUAGCUAGUUGGUGAGGUAAAGGCUCACCAAGGCGAUGAUACAUAGCCGACCUGAGAGGGUGAUCAGCCACAUUGGGACGGAGACACGGCCCAAACUCCUACGGGAGGCAGCAGUAGGGAAUCGUCGGCAAUGGGCGAAAGUCUGACCGAGCAACGCCGAGUGAGGGAAGAAGGUUUUCGGAUCGUAAAACUCUGUUGGUAGAGAAGAACGUUGGUGAGAGUGGAAAGCUCACCAAGUGACGGUAACUACCCAGAAAAGGACGGCUAACUACGUG
rnacentral:rRNA from 1 species